rnacentral:tRNA from 1 species
GUUAAUAUGUUCGAGUGGUUAAGGAGAUAGACUUGAAAUCUGUUGGGCUACGCCCGCGCAGGUUUGAACCCUGCUGUUGACG